GACGAACGCUGGCGGCGUGCUUAACGCAUGCCAGUCGAACGGAAAGGCCCCUUUGGGGGUACUCGAGUGGCGAACGGGUGAGUAACACGUGAGUAACCUGCCCUUGACUUCGGGAUAACUUCAGGAAACUGGGGCUAAUACCGGAUAGGAAUCCUUGCUGCAUGGUGGGGGUUGGAAAGCUUCGGCGGUUUGGGUGGACUCGCGGCUUAUCAGCUUGUUGGUGGGGUAGUGGUUUUCCAAGGCUUUGACGGGUAGCCGGCCUGAGAGGGCGACCGGCCGCAUUGGGACUGAGAUACGGCCCAGACACCUACGGGAGGCAGCAGUGGGGAAUAUUGCACAAGGGGCGGAAGCCUGAUGCAGCAACGCCGCGUGCGGGAUGACGGCCUUCGGGUUGUAAACCGCUUUCAGCAGGGGCGAAGCUUGUGGUGACGGUACCUGCAGAAGAAGCACCGGCUAACUACGUG
rnacentral:rRNA from 1 species